CAGCCGCCACGGUAAUACGUAGGUGGCAAGCGUUGUCCGGAAUUAUUGGGCGUAAAGGGCUCGCAGGCGGUUUCUUAAGUCUGGUGUGAAAGCCCCCGGCUCAACCGGGGAGGGUCAUUGGAAACUGGGAAACUUGAGUGCAGAAGAGGAGAGUGGAAUUCCACGUGUAGCGGUGAAAUGCGUAGAGAUGUGGAGGAACACCAGUGGCGAAGGCGACUCUCUGGUCUGUAACUGACGCUGAGGAACGAAAGCGUGGGGAGCGAACAGGAUUAGAUACCCCCGUAGUCCCUGUCUCUUAUAC
rnacentral:rRNA from 1 species